rnacentral:rRNA from 1 species
UGGUGCAUGGCCGUCGUCAGUUCGUACUGUGAAGGCCAGUCCCUGUUAAGUCAGGCAACGAGCGAGACCCACGCCCACAGUUGCCAGCGUACUCUCUGGAGUGACGAGUACGACUGUGGGGACCGCCGCUGCUAAAGCGGAGGAAGGAAUGGGCAACGGUAGGUCAGUAUGCCCCGAAUAUCCCGGGCUACACGCGAGCUACAAUGGUUGGUACAAUGGGUAUCUACCCCGAAAGGGGACGGGAAUCUCCUAAAACCAAUCUUAGUUCGGAUUGAGGGCUGCAACUCGCCCUCAUGAAGCUGGAAUCCGUAGUAAUCGCGUUUCAACAGAACGCGGUGAAUACGUCCCUGCUCCUU